rnacentral:rRNA from 1 species
AGUCUGGCGUCAGGAUGAACGCUAGCUACAGGCUUAACACAUGCAAGUCGAGGGGUAACAGGAGAGAAGCUUGCUUUCUUGCUGACGACCGGCGCACGGGUGAGUAACGCGUAUCCAACCUUCCCCUUAGUAGCGGAUAGCCCGGCGAAAGUCGGAUUAAUACGCUAUGUUCUUCGUUGAUGGCAUCUGAUGUGAAGCAAAGAUUAAUCGCUAAGGGAUGGGGAUGCGUCUGAUUAGGUAGUCGGCGGGGUAACGGCCCACCGAGCCAUCGAUCAGUAGGGGUUCUGAGAGGAAGGUCCCCCACACUGGUACUGAGACACGGACCAGACUCCUACGGGAGGCAGCAGUGAGGAAUAUUGGUCAAUGGGCGCGAGCCUGAACCAGCCAAGUAGCGUGCAGGAAUGACUGCCCUAUGGGUUGUAAACUGCUUUUAUCAGGGAAUAAAGUGAGGCACGUGUGCCUUUUUGUAUGUACCCGAUGAAUAAGGACCGGCUAAUUCCGUGCCAGCAGCAGC